UUUAUUUUAAAAUAGUAUUCAAAGAUUAACCCAGAUUGCUUAUUUUUAAGAACAAUCGAGUUGAAGCUUUUCUAUAGUUUUCGAUUUUUUUGAUCAGAAAUGGUGGAAGUGGCUAUUUCCUACACCUCAAUGGGUAGGAUUCCACAAAAAUGCUCCUGAUCUGUGAAGAAAAGGUCAUCCUACACUAAUCUCGGUUCUAGAUCUACCUUAUAACCAUAGAUCUAUGACAACUGCGAUUGUUAGCUUGACUGUAGCGCAUCACAUUUAGAUCUAUAUUGAACUUGAUUGAAACAACGCCAAGAAGAUGAUCUGGAGACUAAUUUGCCGUGCAUACAAGCUAUUGUAUCAAUAACUUAAAGAGAAACCACCAGAUAAGAAAACGAUCAGUAUCGAUUUUCUUCCAAAUUCAGGCUAAUAUGCUGCAAUAGAAACUUCAUAUGCUCUAACACAUCUAGUUUUGAUUACCCACUUUGAAGUGUGUGGUUGAAGAUCUUUGAGCAAAGUAAACAGAGGCAUUGUUGGUCCUUGUCUUUUGUUCUAUAUAUAGAGGAGUGUGUGUGCUUUGGCUCAUUUUUUGAAAUUUGAAUUUGAAUCUGGUUUUACAUAUAUCCUUUGGAUAAUUGGAUUAAAAUUAGUUUUUCAAUAGAAUCAUGUGUAAUAAGCACUGUUUAUU